rnacentral:rRNA from 1 species
AGGAUUAACGCUGGCGGCGUGCCUAACACAUGCAAGUCGAACGAGGGGGGCAACCCCCGAGUGGCAGACGGGUGAGUAACGCGUGGUCAACCUACCCUAGAGUGGGGAAUAACUAGCCGAAAGGUUAGCUAAUACCGCAUGAUACGUUUUGGGACAUCCCAGGACGUUGAAAGGAGCAAUCCGCUCGAGGACGGGACCGCGUCCGAUUAGCUAGUUGGUGAGGUAACGGCCCACCACGGCUCCGAUCGGUAGCUGGUUUGAGAGAGCGACCAGCCACACUGGGACUGAGAAAACGGCCCAGACUCCUACGGGAGGCAGCAGUGAGGAAUUUUCCGCAAUGGGCGAAAGCCUGACGGAGCGACGCCGCGUGUGGGAAGAAGGCCUUCGGGUCGUAAACCACUGUCGAAGGGGACUAUACUGAAGGUACCCUUGGAGGAAGCCCCGGCUAACUACGUGCCAGCAGCCGC